rnacentral:pre_miRNA from 1 species
AUAGUACUCCCUCCGUCCCAAAAUUCUCGUCUUAAAUUUGUCUAGAUAUGGAUGUAUCUAGUUACAUUUUAGUGUUAGAUACAUCCGUAUCUAGACAAAUCUAAGACAAGAAUUUUGGGACGGAAGGAGUAUAUG